GAUGAACGCUGGCGGCGUGCCUAAUACAUGCCAGUCGAGCGAACAGACGAGGAGCUUGCUCCUCUGACGUUAGCGGCGGACGGGUGAGUAACACGUGGAUAACCUACCUAUCAGACUGGGAUAACUUCGGGAAACCGGAGCUAAUACCGGAUAAUAUAUUGAACCGCAUGGUUCAAUAGUGAAAGACGGUUUUGCUGUCACUUAUAGAUGGAUCCGCGCCGCAUUAGCUAGUUGGUAAGGUAACGGCUUACCAAGGCAACGAUGCGUAGCCGACCUGAGAGGGUGAUCGGCCACACUGGAACUGAGACAGGGUCCAGACUCCUACGGGAGGCAGCAGUAGGGAAUCUUCCGCAAUGGGCGAAAGCCUGACGGAGCAACGCCGCGUGAGUGAUGAAGGUCUUCGGAUCGUAAAACUCUGUUAUUAGGGAAGAACAAAUGUGUAAGUAACUAUGCACGUCUUGACGGUACCUAAUCAGAAAGCCACGGCUAACUACGUG
rnacentral:rRNA from 1 species